GUCAGGAUGGCCGAGCGGUCCAAGACACUGCGUUCAGGUCGCAGUCCACUCUGUGGGCGUGGGUUCGAACUCCACUCCUGACA
rfam:Schistosoma haematobium scaffold799_27, whole genome shotgun sequence.